rnacentral:tRNA from 1 species
GGAGAUGUAGCUCAGUGGUAGAGCGCCUGCUUAGCAUACCCAAGGUCCUGGGUUCAAUCCCCAGUACCUCCA